rnacentral:misc_RNA from 1 species
UUGAGAUCAGCGGGGUGGGAGA